GACGAACCGUGCGAACGUUAUUCGGAAUCACUGGGCUUAAAGCGCGUGUAGGCGGGACGGCACGUCGGUCGCUGAAAUCCCCCGGCUUAACCGGGGAACGGGCGCCGAUACGACCGCCCUGGAGGGACGUAGGGGGACCUGGAACUUCCGGUGGAGCGGUGAAAUGCGUAGAUAUCGUAAGGAAGACCAGUGGCGAAGGCGGGUCUCUGGACAGUUCCUGACGCUGAAGCACGAAGGCCAGGGGAGCAAACGGG
rnacentral:rRNA from 1 species